UUUCCGGCAUCCCGAGGGUCUGCAGAUAAGGGAGAGGAGGGAUGGACUUGCUGGAAGGAGCAAUAGAAGCAAGCCAGCACAGAGCCCAUUAACUCUUAUCAUCACCAGCUGCAAGGGGUUCGUCAGCAAAAUUAACACUAGUCACGAUGGUUUCUCGGCAGCCCCGCUGGCCCUUCAGGAAAAGAUGUUUGCAGACUCUCCUGGCUGCACACCCUCUAAUCUAAGUAGGUUAAAGAGAAGAGAAUGCUAUUUCCCCCAAGGACUUCAAGGAACUCACGCAAGGCCUGCUGACCAGGGGCCUAACUUAUGCUGGAGUGUGGUGACCUGAGGCUAACUUGAAGAUGAAGCCAGACACCAGAGAUCUCAAUGUACUGUAAGCUCCGUGGUCCUAUCUGAACCACAGGAGAACUGUCUAGUCUGUUUAUGCAUUAAUCUUCUUAAUAUAGUCCCUCCCAACACACAGAUUCUCUACCACCUAUACCUAGUACUCGGAGGGAUAAGAGGACCUGCAUUUUCAAAUCACACUAUCUCCACUGAGAAUUUUCCAAUUUUGGAAAUAUUGUGCCACAAUUAUACACUUGUAUAAAAAAAAAUCUUCUUAGCGCCGGACUGUAAUCUCCAGAUGCCUGGAGGAAGGCACAAAGUCACAAGUACAAAGGCCAGCCUAGUCAACCAACUCAGCAAGCCACUGUUCCAAAUAAAAUGGAAGAAGCAAUGUUGGGGUAAAUUCAAUGGUAGAGUACUUGUCUAACAUACAUGAGACUCUAGGAUCAGUCCCUAAUACUGAAAAUGUCCUUGGGAAACUUAACUACGAUAUACAAUGCCCAUACAUCAAUGAAGAAGGGAGACAAGAAGACAAGGAGACAGACAAGGAAGAAUGGGGGAAAGGAGGGUGAAACCCAUUCACAGCAUGAGUCUCUUCUGGAGAGAAGCAGGAAAGGCAGUCAACAUCCAGGAUACAGGCAAGGGCUCAAGAGACUCAUCCAUCACUGAGUCUUGGUCAUGAACCUGAGAACGGAUCUCAAUCUCAGCAGAUCCGUCUGAAAGCAAGAAGGAGGUCAAGGCUCUCCAUGAGAUGGGUAGUAUGCCCAAACUCUUACAGCAGGGGGCUGACAAUAAGCUCUCUUCCCUGAACCAAGCUUCCACUAGCCUCCUCUCCCCGCUUUGCCCCUCCCAUGUAGAACCAAGCAUUCGGACCCUCCCUGAUGUCACCUACCAGUCUGCCUCCUCCCCCUCCCCCCAACCCCAGCCUGGUGCCUUUCUUUCCCGAACACUCUUUUCUGUCUCAACAGGACAGGGCCUGGAGCCAUGCAGGCAGAGUUCUCAUUAGGCAAGCCUAGCAGCCACAAGGUAUUCAAGGGGCCGCUGAAGCCAGCUGUCGCUAGGUUCUCACCUGGAAGCCUUCCCGUAAGAAGUUCUCCCUACACCCUCAUUAAGCAAGACCGGUCAAUGAUUAUAGACCACAGAAGCAGGACCCUGCUGCUGGGUAACCUUUACGCCAUUUACCCGAGGCACCAGGGAAAAGUCCUGAGCCCAGGUGCAAACUGGAGAGCUGGAGGUGAAAGAUGCGCCCAGACACCUGUGGACCUGUGCGACUAGCUGGCUCCCUUCAAGCUGCAUGGCUGCAGGCAAGUCAUUUCCCAGUCUGAGUGGCAGCUCCCAAACCGGCUCUGGGCGAGCAGCUGGUCUUAACAGAGGAAGCAAACUGAAAGAAGCUUCUAGAAUAGAAGGGGCUGGACAGUGGUGCAAACACCUACACACUCAAGAGAGAAAAUGCAAGCGGUGCUUGCACACCCCAGAAGCUAAGGUAGAGCUUGGAGGUGUAGCUCCCAGAAAGUCGUUUAAAAAAAAAAAAAAAAGCAGGAUUUUGUGUCUGAAGACAGUGAAGGAGAAAGGCCAUUUACCUGAAGAAUAUUUAAAAUUGACAGCUCCAGGGUGGAUAGGCAGAAGGAUGGGGGGAGGGGGGAGGGGGGAGGGAGAAGGUGUUGAUGGCUGAGUAGGUCCUCAUAUUCACUUGCAAAGCACAGUCUUUGGUCCUAGUCAGACACAGAAUUCUAAAGACACUUCCCCCAUAGAAAUGGAGGCACUGGGUCCUGGAACAACAGGCCUAACAACAACAACAACAAAAUCGACAAGGAGGACUCCCUGGUUCCCAAAAAACAGCAAAAGAUGACCAGAGGUGGCUUAUACCCUGGGAUAGGGGAGCUGGGCAUUAACACCACCCACCGAUGGAAAUGAGGAUUUACAAAACAUGCAUAGGUGAUAAACAGGAAAAGCUGCAGCCCCAGCAGGCACUUUACAGUGAGGGAAGAGGGCUCUCUUUUCUUUGGCCCCUACCUCAGGUUGUUAGUAUGCUGCUUAGUGAAUCUGCCUGUCAAAUUAAGCUCUUCCUGCAGGGGUCUCUUCCUUGCUUAGAAAGUCAUCCCCUACCCACCCACCACCACACAUAUAACAAGGAGCGGCUUAUGGCAGAAGCUUCUCCAAAGGAAGGCCUCUUAAACAUAUAGCUAUUUGGGGAAUAGCAUCUCUACACACACACACACAGAGAGACAGAGAGAGACAGAGACAGAGACAGAGACAGAAAGAAAGACAGAGAGAGAAAGCUGUGUAUAGUAAAAGGUGUGUGUGUGUGUGUGUGUGUGUGUGUUAUCCAAUAUAAGGUGGAAGGAAGUCUGCCUACCCAACAGAAGCAUUAAUGUGGCUGGUGCUGCCAGAGCAAGCAACAGCAGCAUGAACCCAAUACCUGCUAUGUAACUGGUCCCAUGUAAGGAGCCAGGAGGACUCCCACCUGCUCAUCCCCAUAGCAGCUUUGGAAACAUCAUUCAUUUUCUGUUUCUACAAGACUGCCCAAAAGAAGCAUGGCUACCUCUUACAAAAUCCUCAAUUGUGAGGUGACAGUGGCCCUUAAAAAAAAAAAAAAAAAAAAAAAAAAAAAAAGAACACACACACACUCUAUAUGGUAUGCAAGAGUAUGUACGCUGUAUAUACCAUUGGGCACAUAGUUGGCAUGGCAGCUGUUUCCUACCACAUUGGCAUAAGAUCUGGGGACAGAGGCACAGGUCCAACCUGUAGGAAAGGACACUUUGGGAAAGGACAGCAGUAAACUAAGUAUUAGAAAGAACAUGGACCACUCGGUGGACAAGCUGACGAUUUAACAAGGGUCUUUUGAAAGGCCUGCAGCCUGGCCCAUCAAUUACAUACUGAAUUAUGCCUCCUGGCCCUUGCCCCCAACAGUCUCACAGAACCAACUCAUUUUGUAAGACUGAAUUUAAGCAGUUGUCUAAGGGAUUAUUCUAGGUCCCCCAAGCUGAAUGCUCACAUUUAUAUACCUUUGUAAUGCAACAGUAAUUAGAUGACUCGGUGGUAAAUUUUCAUCUCCCACCCCUGAGUAGAGAGUCAUGGCCUCUUAUCCAGUGCCAAGUGUGUAGGGCCGGACACUAACUGUCAAUGGCUGCUGGAAGGGGUCUUGGCUAAGGAUAUUUGGAUGAAUAGGAAGCUUUGUGGAAGAGUGGCUUGAUGGAACAGUGGCGAGGUAGAAAGGUAGUUAGAUAGAAGGAUGUUGGGGGGGGGGGGGGCUAGAGAAUAUAUUUCAAAAUAUAGUGUUUUGACAGGCAGACUACUCUCAACUAUAGGAUCUAGAAAAGCCUCCAAAGCAAGAUAUUACAGACCUUUUCCUGCCACACUGACUCAUUCAUUCUCCUACAGCUUGGCCCAUAGAAGUGAGAUUCCUGUUCCUCAAGGCAACUGAUAAGACCUAGAACCCCUUUUUCCUAAGAGCCAGCCAUAGAAUCCAGCAGGCCCCUUUGUUUGCCUUCUGUCUCAUGAAUGACCUUGAACUCUCUGACUCACCCUCUUGAGACCCCCAUUUCAGGGCUGUCCAGCCCAUAGGGAAAAGGAAGCAAUGUAUAUGCAUUUAGUGGCUUGAAUGAAAAAUGACCUCAACAGGUUCAGAACAACUGGCAUUACUUGAGAGGAUCCAGACCUGUGGCCUUGUUAAGGGAACUGUGUCACUGUAGUCUUUAAAGUUUCAGAACCUCAAGCCAGGCAAGCCCAGGGGCUUGCUCUUCCUGCUGCCUGUCAAUCCAUACAUAGAACUCUUAGCUAACUCUCCAGCACUAUGUUUGCCUGCGUACCCCGGAGCUUCCUGUCAUGAUGAUGAUGGACUAAACCACUGAACCAGAUCCAAUUAAAUGUUCUCAUUUAUAAGAA